GAGGAGUUUGUCAGCACCUGCAUUUUCUUCAGGAAGAAAGUGGCUCUUAGGAUGACCGUAGGCAGAAGGAGGUAGACAUGGGAGACUUUUCAUUUUGCUCUGUACUAAGAAAAAUUCUUAUCCUGUUUAUCUGUGACCUUACCCCCAACCCGGUGCUCUCUGAAACAUGUGCUGUGUCCACUCAGGGUUUAAUUGGUUCAUGGUUCCGCAGGCUGUACAGGAAGCAUAGCAGGUUCCUGA
rnacentral:lncRNA from 10 species